CGCGUAGGUGGUUUGUUAUGUCAGAUGUGAAAGUCCACGGCUCAACCGUGGAAGUGCAUUUGAAACUGGCAGACUUGAGUACUGGAGGGGGUAGUGGAAUUCCCGGUGUAGAGGUGAAAUUCGUAGAUAUCGGGAGGAAUACCGGUGGCGAAGGCGACUGCCUGGCCAGAUAUUGACACUGAGGUGCGAAAGCGUGGGGAGCAAACA
rnacentral:rRNA from 1 species